AUUCAGAUAGUUUAAUUAGAAUAGCAAUUUGUGGAUUUGUAGGUGUUGUAAAACUCUGAAUU
rnacentral:tRNA from 1 species